GUACACCACAGGGUGGUUUCCUCUGCAUUUUGUGGGCCAUUUCUGAUAGCCGUUUUUCCUUUCCUUUCCGUAACAAGGAACAAAGCAACAACAAUGGCGACCAUGGAACAGUGUCUGCUAGAACAAAUGGACCUAGAUGACCAGAUGAUACGUUUAAUUAUGCUGCAAAAUCGAUCGAGAAGGCGGCGGCGUAGAUGUACCAAACCAGACUCUGAUGGAUGAACCCAGAACUGAUUCAAUGACUCUUGUAUAGAACUUUCGCAACACAGGCUGUGAUUCGUCAGCAACUGGAGGAAGUACAUACUCAGCUGGGCUUUUUCAGGAUGGGGUUGAUGUUGGUCUCCCACUUCAGGUCCUGAGAGACUGUAAUUCCCAGGAAUUUGAAGGUCCCGACGUUUGACUCAGGGCAAUUGGACAGCGUGAGGGGUAGCUGUGAAAUCCACAAUCAUCCCUAUGGUCUUGAGCGUGUCCAGAUCCAGGUUGUGCCGCACCAGAGCACCAGCUGCUACACUUCCUGUGCGAUAUGUGAUAUUGUUUCAAACUGUAACCGAUUGUGACUUGAGCGUAUUGCAUUAUGUAGAUAUGUAUUAAAUAAAGUAUUUGCCAUCCAGGCGGACGGCAAUCGUUUUGCAGGUCUACCUAACAACUCCGGACAACGUCUGUCACGACACUCCUAAGCUGUUAGCCAUCUUCUGUAGCCUGGUUAACCUUCCAGAUGCAGUUUGUUGUGGAUUUUUUAGAAUUUUUUGAAAUAUUCAAACCCAGAACCUUUGAUCCCGAGGCACACACGCUAACCAAAUGCUCUACUGUCCUGUCAAGAAGACUACUACAUCACGUUAUUCAAUUCAGGAAAUCCAAUGCCAUCCAACUUGGAAUUUGUGUUACUUUUACGAUUGAUCUUUUUACUUUUAAUUAAUAUUUAAUUUAAUAGACUAACACUACACCAUUGAGUGUUCGGACUGGAUUGAGGGGUGUUUUUCUUGAAGCCAAGAUUAAAACACUGGGUCUACUGUUAUUGUGAAGGGAAUUAAGACCAAAUAAUACCAAAGAGUACCAUGUGAAAGGAAGAAGACCAUGAUUAGAUUUCAAGGUAUGAGGCAGAGGCCUUUACAUUAGGAGAGCGAAACUCAAUUUGUUGCCUCACGCGUCUGGCAAAUGAAAAUGCUGCUUGCUGCCCUCCUGCGAGCCAGCCAACAUUCAUCAACUUGCAUCAUUUUUUCAUUUGGCGAUGCUGCAGCAGCAAGACGAAAUAACAUCUGGCAGUGACCCACUAGUCAGUGCUAUAAUGGCCACCAUGUUCGCAUAUGUGGACUGCAGCUUGUGGAGCAACAUGGCUGAUACUGAAUAUUUGUUCCCUCUUUUGUUAGUCUUCUGGGGAAAAGAGCUUUAGUCCAAAUUUAAAGUGUCACAUCCGUCCACUCAUCGGAGAGACAAACUACUUUGCUGCACCAAAAGCUAACGCUAAUGUCGAAACUGGGUCAGAGCUAAUAAAUAAUUAAAAUCGACCAAGCGACGGCUCAUAACUUGAAAAAGUCAAAGGUUGGGGCACUAGUAUUUUGUAAUCAUUUUUGAUGUACAGCUGGAAAAUACAAAAAAACUAAAACAUACAUAAUUUUGAAAAUACAGCUGGAAAGGGUUUUAGGGGACAGACAGAGGGACUGAGUGGACAAGGGGAAUAGGGGUGCGAACCACAGCAGAACAAUAGUUAAACAGUUUAGAUAUUGGAGCACAAGUAACGUGUCAACAGUCAAAUUGUGUUCUUAUUUGUGGAUGGGGCGGUGACACCCGGUGAGGACGUGCAAUAACUAACCAAGCGAACAAGAUGAGAGAGGACAGAAAAGGGCAGGACAGGACAGGACCUGGGAAAUGAGCAAGACAGUGCUCUUGAAGAGUAAAUUGAACCUGUAAAUUGAUAUGUUAAUAUAACCUGUGUUGUUAUUAGUGGUCCUAGCACAAGCAAUUAAAGGGUAUAGCGUGUCUAUGGAAUUUAUUAGGGAAUGAACGCCAUAUCACAUGCAUGUUAGUCAGCUGGUGUAUGGGGUUGCUGAGCCGGCACAUUGAGCCGCACGCAAAGUUGAGACAAUCAGAAUUCCAGUCACGCAACCCACGACACCCCCAUUUUGUGGCCACCCCUGUAAUUUUCUGACCACCUGCUGGCCACGCCCCAGAAAAAGCCCUGGCUCCACCACUGCUCAGUCAGACAAAAAAACUUGCGGGACCGGUAAAUCUUGCUUUAGUUGUUCUGAUUGCGUGGGACUGUCUUCAUCUCCAUUGGUAUUAAUGGCCACUAAUUUAUCAAAUAAUACCAAUUUGCCAAUUUAUCUAAUUUCCCUCACAUGAUUAAUAAAGUGUCGGUCGGUCGGUCGGUCGGUCGGUCGGUCGGUCGGUCGGAGAAGUGCAUGGAGAAAAGCUUCUCCAUGUCGGUGUGUAUAGAUAGAUAGAUAGAUAGAUAGAUUAGAUCGAUCUAUCUAUCUAUCUAUCUAUCUAUCUAUCUAUCUAUCUAUCUAUCUAUCUAUCUAUCCAUCUAUCCAUCUAUCCAUCUAUCCAUCCACACCGACCGACAUGGUGAAGCACUUCUGUCCAGGCAAUAAUGUGCAAUAUGGUGAUGAUUUUACUUUAAUUUCAUACUGUUCAUACUAUUCUUCCAGUUCAAGAAGGCUACUGGUUUAACCGGGCUCGCUAUUCCUGUUGGCGAUUGUUGUUGACAACUAUGCUUGCUUUUGUUUGUCUAAAUUCUACCUUUGAUUGGCUUACAAUAAAAUCUUCAUUACCUCUGCAA